UAAGUGGGGAGUCACUGUUGAACAA
rnacentral:misc_RNA from 1 species